GAUGAACGCUAGCGAUAGGCUUAACACAUGCAAGUCGAGGGGUAUAGUAGCAAUACUAGAGACCGGCGCACGGGUGCGUAACGCGUAUGCAAUCUACCUUUUACAGAGGGAUAGCCCAGAGAAAUUUGGAUUAAUACCUCAUAGCAUUGCGAAAUGGCAUCAUUUUGCAAUUAAAGUCACAACGGUAAAAGAUGAGCAUGCGUCCCAUUAGCUAGUUGGUAAGGUAACGGCUUACCAAGGCAACGAUGGGUAGGGGUCCUGAGAGGGAGAUCCCCCACACUGGUACUGAGACACGGACCAGACUCCUACGGGAGGCAGCAGUGAGGAAUAUUGGACAAUGGGCGCAAGCCUGAUCCAGCCAUGCCGCGUGCAGGAAGACGGUCCUAUGGAUUGUAAACUGCUUUUAUACAGGAAGAAACACACCCUCGUGAGGGUACUUGACGGUACUGUAUGAAUAAGCAUCGGCUAACUCCGUGCCAGCAGCCG
rnacentral:rRNA from 1 species